UACAGAGGUCUCAAGCGUUGUUCGGAUUCAUUGGGCGUAAAGGGUGCGUAGGUGGCGCGGUAAGUCGGGUGUGAAAUUUCGGAGCUUAACUCCGAAACUGCAUUCGAUACUGCCGUGCUUGAGGACUGGAGAGGAGACUGGAAUUUACGGUGUAGCAGUGAAAUUCGUAGAUAUUCGGAAGAACACCAGUGGCGAAGGCGACUUACUGGACACAUAUUGACGCUGAGGUGCGAAAGCGUGGGGAGCAACAGGGAUU
rnacentral:rRNA from 1 species